GACGAACGCUGGCGGCGUGCUUAACACAUGCAAGUCGAACGGUAAGGCCCUUCGGGGUACACGAGUGGCGAACGGGUGAGUAACACGUGGGUGAUCUGCCCUGCACUUCGGGAUAAGCCUGGGAAACUGGGUCUAAUACCGGAUAGGACUCCUGGCUUCAUGGUUGGGGGUGGAAAGAUUUUGCGGUGUGGGAUGGGGCCGCGGCCUAUCAGCUUGUUGGUGGGGUAAUGGCCUACCAAGGCGACGACGGGUAGCCGGCCUGAGAGGGUGACCGGUCACACUGGGACUGAGAUACGGCCCAGACUCCUACGGGAGGCAGCAGUGGGGAAUAUUGCACAAUGGGCGCAAGCCUGAUGCAGCGACGCCGCGUGAGGGAUGACGGCCUUCGGGUUGUAAACCUCUUUCAGCUAUGGCGAAGCGCAAGUGACGGUAGUAGCAGAAGAAGGACCGGCCAACUACGUGCCAGCAGCCGCCGUAA
rnacentral:rRNA from 1 species